AUUGAACGCUGGCGGCAUGCCUUACACAUGCAGGUCGAACGGCAGCACGGGUGCUUGCACCUGGUGGCGAGUGGCGAACGGGUGAGUAAUACAUCGGAACAUGUCCUGUAGUGGGGGAUAGCCCGGCGAAAGCCGGAUUAAUACCGCAUACGAUCUACGGAUGAAAGCGGGGGACCUUCGGGCCUCGCGCUAUAGGGUUGGCCGAUGGCUGAUUAGCUAGUUGGUGGGGUAAAGGCCUACCAAGGCGACGAUCAGUAGCUGGUCUGAGGGGACGACCAGCCACACUGGGACUGAGACACGGCCCAGACUCCUACGGGAGGCAGCAGUGGGGAAUUUUGGACAAUGGGCGAAAGCCUGAUCCAGCAAUGCCGCGUGUGUGAAGAAGGCCUUCGGGUUGUAAAGCACUUUUGUCCGGAAAGAAAUCCUUGGCCCUAAUACGGUCGGGGGAUGACGGUACCGGAAGAAUAAGCACCGGCUAACUACGUG
rnacentral:rRNA from 1 species